GAAAGAAUCAAACUAGAUAUCCUGCUUCCUCAAUUAGGACACAUAAAAAGAAAAACUGAAAGAAUAGCAUAGUAGUGACGGGUCGAAAGAUCUAGGUACCUUUACGAAUUGAGGUUGCAGUCGCGUAGAUAACCUUGCUCGUAAUCCACAUACUUAGACCAAUAGUUUCGAUAUUUGGGAAUACCAAUCUCCAACCAUGGCUUCAAGUU
rnacentral:misc_RNA from 1 species